rnacentral:rRNA from 1 species
UACGUAGGGUGCGAGCGUUGUCCGGAAUUAUUGGGCGUAAAGAGCUCGUAGGCGGUGUGUCACGUCGGCCGUGAAAACCUGCAGCUUAACUGUGGGCGUGCGGUCGAUACGGGCAUCACUGGAGUUCGGCAGGGGAGACUGGAAUUCCUGGUGUAGCGGUGAAAUGCGCAGAUAUCAGGAGGAACACCGGUGGCGAAGGCGGGUCUCUGGGCCGUAACUGACGCUGAGGGGCGAAAGCAUGGGGAGCGAACAGG